rnacentral:tRNA from 1 species
AGUGGUGCAAUGGGUCAGUGCAUCUGGCUAUUAACCAGAAGAUUGGUGGUUCAAGCCCACCCUGCACUA